GGAGGUGCGGUGUUAGGCUGUGGGUAUUGGCGCUGCUUGUCUUCGAAAUCGGGCACUUACCUCUAAUGAAAGCAAUGGAAGUUGGUCAGUGGCCGGAGCGUGCACCACCAUGACCAAAAGAUGUCCUAGGAGCAUGGUUUCUAGCAUGUCUUACUGGAAGUUUGGGAUCUCCCUGUGUGGUGAAAGCCUCUGAGCUUGAGAAGGGCAUGGAAGGGUUGGAAGAAGCCACCAAGUGCUGAUUGCAGAGCUGAGAAAAUAUAACUAAUCUUCAGCGAAGUGUUGAAACUCCUUCAGGUUGGCCAUAAUGGUCCUGAAAGUAAUAAAAUCUGAAAGUCUCAUCAAUGAAAUGCGAAAAUCUGCUUGAGCAACACAGAUGCACUGAAUCUUUUACCCCUGCUGCUGGUAGGAGGAAGAAUUGCUAGAAGCAGCCUGAGAACAAUUACUGUCUCUUGAAACAUUCCUGCUUAAGAAACAAAAAACUGUUUAAAAGAUGGACUACUAAGCCUCCAUGUAGUAAGACAUAGUGCAUUUAACUGCAUUGUGGCAGUGUCUGGUAAUAUUUAUAUAGAUAAAAAAAUAAAGAUUUAUGUUUCUGUUCUCAGAAUUUCUAUCUUUUCCAAGUUUUAGUGCUUCUGUUUCAGAGUUCAGACUUCUUUGUGUUAUUGUUGAGAUACCAGUGCACCUCUUUGGAUGAAACAAAACCUAGCAGUGAGUUGGGAUGUGAUGACUUAAACCACGGUCUCCUGUAGUAUUUGAAGAUAGAGUUGGCUGAGAUUUCUAUUGUGGUGAGCAAAAGUAGAAAUUUAAAAAGCAGAAAUUCAGCAAACGUGGGUUUAAUAAUAUCAGGAAAGGUGUUUAUCCAACAUGGAGAAUGGCAAGCUUGGUUUAUUAUCACCUUGACCAGCUACAACAUGUGGUACUUCAGCAUAACUUGGAGUGAAAUACUCUUGAAAUAAUUGGGAUUGCUGCUUAUUUUUCUAGGAAGAUUUAACAUGGUUUAUCAGAAGAACAAAUGCUUAAUUUUGUAUCUUGCACUGUGUGAUUUUUCAGUACUGAAUGUAGGCAUGUUACUAAUUCUAAGUGUAAGGUUUUUUUUAGUUCGUCAAGAGAGAGAGGUUUAGACAAGAGUAAUUAAUUUUUAAGAGAUCCAGCUUGUAAUUAUGGGAUGUACUUGAAAGUUUAGGGUUUUUAUUAGGGAUUACAUUCCCUGAAGAUACCAUCUGUUCGGGAGUUCUGCUCGUGGGCCUUUGUUCUUGAAGUGUAAGACCAACAGGAGUAGCUUUUUAAAACUUAAAAAAAAAAUCUCAUGAGCAACAGCUAGUGACAGGAUUUGAUGAUUGGUACCUAACCCCAGGGUUAGAUACUUGUUUGGUAUCAAACCCAGGGUAAACUUCCUUUCAGCUAAAAAAGAUGUAGAACCCCAAGCUGUAAAGUUUAAUACAGGUGUUAUAGUGGAGUAGAACAAGGGAAAAGUGAGCUUUUCCUCUCUUUUGCAUAGGGAGCAAUGUGACGGUCACAGAUUACUUAAAUACUAAUGCUGGUAAAUGUGAAGUAUGAUGUUAAACAUUAGGACUGCCUUUUACUUUGUAUAACUGGCUAACUGAAUUGCACCCUUGAAAAAAACAUCAGAGUAUAAGACUCUGCUCAGCAAUAAAAACUGAAAAGAAAGGGUAAGGUAUUCAUGUUCUGGAACAACGUACUACAUGUACUGAGCCCUGCUUUGCAGGAACUGGGUGGACACCAUGUGCUCCUGGGAAGUAGAAAAUGUAAAUCUUUUGGAGUUUGGUUAUUUUUUGCUUUUGCUUCUGCUUUACUAAACUCCUUUAUCUUGACCCACAAGGAUUUUGUCCAUCUAAUUCCCUUGCCCAUCCUGUUAAGGAGGGGGGUGAUAGAGCAGCUUGGUGGGCACCUGGUGUCCUGCCAAGGUCAACACACCACAGCUCUUACUCAGGAGAACAAAUACAGAAAUAAAAACAGACACAUUAAGCAGAGACUGUCUGCCACACUGGCUCUGUAUCUGUGUGUUUGCUUUGACAGCUCACAUAGUCUGCUGUUGCUCUCUGGUGAUUUUUAGGUGAGAAAGGAAACUGGUAUAGAUGUGCACUGGAAAUGCAAAGCUUACACUGACAACUUCCUGCUGCAAGAUAAAAUACUUAAUCUGGAGAAGCUGUAUCCUCAAGUGGAUUUUAAUUGGUACUACACCUGUUUUUACCAGAUGGUGGUGUCAAAUGAAUCUGUGUUUCUGAAGGCUUUGCUCCUUAGUGUAAUGUAAAUAAGACACACAGGCAACCAUGCAAUGCCCUAAAAAUUCAAGUUUUACUUGACUUUUAAAUAACCUGGACACAAGUGUUGACACAGCCAUCUAUCAAACUCAUUUUAAAAUAAAGCACACAGUUGCUUCAUGAAUACUUAGUGUACAUGGAACAAAGGUAUCACAUUGGUAUGUUCAUGUAUGUUGUCUUCAAACACCUUUCUAGGGAGUUCUGAAUUAAACAAAUUUUCCCAAAAGAAAACAUGCUGUCUCUUCAGUUCAAUAUCCAGCUGCAUAAAGGGAAUAAAUUUGGCAACUUAAAUGGUAAUGACUUUGCAACAAACAUCAUCAAAAUAAUGAGCUUGAUUAGAAUACAAGUUGCAGACUUAGUGAUACUGGUAAGAGGUGCAGUGUAGAAAAGAGCAGGUCCAGGCUAGCUCCAAAUGAAAGAAACCAGCCAACUAAGCAAGGGAACCAGUACAGGAUAUACUACAGUACUUUUGUGCUGUGGUUAGCAA